rnacentral:lncRNA from 1 species
UAAAACGUAUUUUUUCCCUUUCAAUUUCAAUUGAAACUUGAAAUCAAACUCGUUUGCAGAAAAUAAAAGCAAAAAGAGAAGAAAUUAAACACACGACACCGUAUGGCUGAUUCUGCACAUUUUCACAAAGUAGACUCGAGUUUUGGCAGCAGUGGCGGCAGCGUCGGCGGUGGAGGACUCAACAACUGCGGUUGCGCCCUCAGAUUAGAAUUUCACCGGCGCCGCCUUUAAUCGCCUCCCGCUUCGUCCCCGUUUCUCCCCCUGUUCAUCGAUCUGCGUGCAAGCCUAGCAACCGCACCUUCUCCGGCCGCCAUCGUC